CCCUUAGAUGUUCUGGGCCGCACGCGUGCUACACUGAGUAAUCCAAUGGGUAAGGGAACGCUAGAGCAUUACCUAAUCUUGAAAUUUGCUCGUGAUGGGGAUCGACGGUUGCAAUUUUCCGUCGUGAACGAGGAAUACCUUGUAGGCGCAUGUCAUCAUCAUGCGCCGAAUACGUCCCUGCCCUUUGUACACACCGCCCGUCGCUCCUACCGAUUGAGUGAUCCGGUGAGGCUCUGGGACCUGGACGGAAAGAGCGUUUCGCUUGUUCUGUUUGGGAAACUUGGUCGAACCUUAUCAUUUAGAGGAAGGAGAAGUCGUAACA
rnacentral:rRNA from 1 species